GAUGAACGCUGGCGGCGUGCCUAAUACAUGCAAGUCGAGCGAAUGGAUUAAGAGCUUGCUCUUAUGAAGUUAGCGGCGGACGGGUGAGUAACACGUGGGUAACCUGCCCAUAAGACUGGGAUAACUCCGGGAAACCGGGGCUAAUACCGGAUAAUAUUUUGAACUGCAUGGUUCAAAAUUGAAAGGCGGCUUCGGCUGUCACUUAUGGAUGGACCCGCGUCGCAUUAGCUAGUCGGUGAGGUAACGGCUCACCAAGGCAACGAUGCGUAGCCGACCUGAGAGGGUGAUCGGCAACACUGGGACUGAGACACGGCCCAGACUCCUACGGGAGGCAGCAGUAGGGAAUCUUCCGCAAUGGACGAAAGUCUGACGGAGCAACGCCGCGUGAGUGAUGAAGGCUUUCGGGUCAUAAAACUCUGUUGUUAGGGAAGAACAAGUGCUAGUUGAAUAAGCUGGCACCUUGACGGUACCUAACCAGAAAGCCACGGCUAACUACGUGCCAGCCGCCGCCGUAA
rnacentral:rRNA from 1 species